rnacentral:misc_RNA from 1 species
GAAAAUUGAGGACGGUUUCAAAUUGAACAUAAAACAGAUGAGCAAAGCAAACUAUUUAAUUAACAAGAAGCUACAGAAGUGUUAAAUACUUGUCCAUAGAUAAAUAGGUCAACAGAUGAGCAAAGACCAAGCCCAACCACACACCCAAAUUCUAGCAUAGUUCCUGCACUCAACCUUAUUAUUAUUAUUAUUAAUUUCCAGCAAUUUCAUCCUUAUCUCAGCUCAGACAGCGACUCCAAAUCCUCUUCCACCACAGUCACCAAGUACUGAUUAUCCGAAUUCCUCACCGAGCAAUUAGCACGAAUUUCUCCAUUACCACCUGUCAACACACUCAAUUGCCCCAUCUUUAUCAUCGAAGCCACGAAUUGUUCGAAGAACAAAGAUUGGUUCGCUGCAAAGCCCUUGACGAUGUCCUUUGUCCUGGAAUCUGUGUACAAAUCUUGGUCUGAAGUAAAUAAGCCUUCGCGGUCCACGAGAUUAACGUAGUACUUGUUGUCGAAUGUAUUAGGAGAUCGAAUAUCCAGCACGGUUGUAUUGGUAGAGUUUGAUGUUGGGCAGAUUUCCUUGAGAUCAUUGGCAAAUGUCUCGUCCAUUACAGGGUCUUGGGUUGGAUACAAACGGUUUGUGAAAGAGCUGCAGUGGCUUAUUCCGAUGGUGUGGCCACCGGAGAGGGCUACCACGUCCGUGGCAUCGAAGUUUUUGGUGGCCAGCGAUGUGAGAAGUGUGGUGGUGUUGGAAGUGGGUGCUGGCAGGUUUGCCAAGGUUACAUUUUGGGUCGCAAAGGUCAACCCGUCUCGCCUUCCCAGUGGAACAUCAUAAUCAGGCCCGCCUGACAAGAAAACAGAAUCGCGGGCGGCAAUAGCAACAAUAUCAGCGCAAGAAACGACUCGGCCACACUCCUUGUGUACCCUCUCGCGCAGGUCAUCUAUGAUCUCAAAUGCCUCUUUUCUCAAGCUCAAAUUGGGAGGUGCUUCUUGCUCACUUGGUCCACUGGCUGAUCCAUCAAGCAACACUGAUGCAUCGCACCCCUGAACAAAGCAGUCAUGGAAGUGGAGACGAAGCAAGCCAGCAGCUUGUCCAACGUCCUUCUUGAACACUUUCUUGAGCUGUUUUCUGAUGAUGGAUUCUACUUUAGGGCAGGUAGACUUGUAAAAUGUCCAUGAAAGACCAUUCACUAUAGGAGCAGAGCUUUGUGCUUUAAUGACAGAAAAGCAAAAGCUUAGUGAGAGAAAAGUGAUCAAAAGUAAACGAGUAAAGGAUUUAGCAGUAGC